GCACAAUAAAAUUUUUUUUUUUUUUUCAGGAGGGAUUACAUGAUAGUUCAAAAUUAUCAGAUUUUUAUAACUGCAAGAAAUUCCCGAAGAUGCUGUUAAUGUCCUAAAAGGGUAAAGGCAAAGCAAGUAUUUUAGCAUCAGGCUGUUAUUUGAAAAAAAAAAAAAAAAAAAAAAAAUCCAAAUUCUGCACUUCUAAUAUUUGCUAAAUGGAAUAGAAGACAUGGAAUCUCUUGGACCAGCUCAGAAUAAACAGCCCAUUAUAGUGUGUAUUACAAGUUCAUUCUGUAUUAAAGCAGUAAAUCACUUAAU